GAUGAACGCUGGCGGUAUGCUUAACACAUGCAAGUCGAACGGACUCUUCGGAGUUAGUGGCGGACGGGUGAGUAACGCGUGAGAAUCUGGCUUUGGGUUCGGGACAACCACUGGAAACGGUGGCUAAUACCGGAUGUGCCGAGAGGUAAAAGAGAAAUUGCCUGAAGAUGAGCUCGCGUCUGAUUAGCUAGUUGGUGAGGUAAAGGCUCACCAAGGCAGCGAUCAGUAGCUGGUCUGAGAGGAUGACCAGCCACACUGGGACUGAGACACGGCCCAGACUCCUACGGGAGGAAGCAGUGGGGAAUUUUCCGCAAGGGGCGAAAGGCUGACGGAGCAAUACCGCGUGAGGGAAGAAGGCUCUUGGGUUGUAAACCUCUUUUCUUAGGGAAGAACAAAAUGACGGUACCUAAGGAAUCAGCAUCGGCUAACUCCGUG
rnacentral:rRNA from 1 species